AAAAACAGUAGGGGUUUUGGAAAGUGGUCGUUCUGAGAGCAAUGACACUGGCGCACGCGUGCAUGUGAUGACUCCAUUUUCUAUUUUCAGUGUUUGAACGGAUACAACGUCUCCCGGUUGGAAUAUUAUCGCUAUUUUAUGAGAAAAAUCGCAUAAAAAUUGAUUUUAAACAGCGUUUGACAUGCUUCGAAGUACGGUAAUGGAAUAUUUUGACAUUUUUUGUCACGAUACGCGCCGGCACGUCACCCUUCAGAUAGUGUCUUGAACGCAAGAACAAAACGCAGCUAUUUGGAUAUAACUAUGGAUUAUUUGGAACCAAAACAACAUUGGAUGUUGAAGUAGAAGUCCUGGGAGUGCAUUCUGACGAAGAACAGCAAAGUUUCCAUGCUAGUUUGGAGAUGCUGCCUAUCUGGAGCUGUUUUCGCUGUGUCCUGAAAGCCUGUCAGGGGAAGACUCCAGCUUCCAUGGCAUUAAAGCAUCAAAGGAGGCCGUCUGAUGUUCCGAGAACAGAGGAAGUCAUCAUACACAACGGGCCAACACAACCCCAACACUCAGUCCCAAACCCAUCCAAUUAAUCAUGUUGAUAGAAGCCCUCCAGAGAGCACAGUGGAGACGGAGCCCUUUCUCUCUGCAAUGCCAUUAGAGUCAACGUGCCUCUCAAACAAACAGGCAGACAUCUGUGACAUUAGUGUCUUCUCUCCACUCAGAUGACCACAGUCCCUGGGGCACUGUGUAUCUCUGGACCUGCCAUUGGACAUAUUGAAAGGGGUUGAACCAUAUUUAUGUUUGAAAGGGCUCUUCAGAGACUUCCUUUUUGUGCUGUAGCUACAAGCCAGGAGGACAAAGUGGCUGUCUUACUCACUGCUGCAAGAUGUGAAAUACUGUAGAACCUAUAUUAUAUCACACGACUUGCCAGAGUUUUCUAGAUAUAAGUUGCCAUAUAGCAUGUUUGGCAUAUUCAGACUUAUAAUUUGUAAUCAUUGGCAACAUUGACAUUGUUUGGGUUUGUUUAGAACAGGGAUGGGCAACUAGCGGGCUGCGGGCCAAAUGACCCCCUUUUGUAGGCCUUGCGGAUCAAUUUCCAAAUUUGGAUCUCAGAAUCGUAGAAUACACAAGGUGCAAUUUUGAAAUUUGGUUGUGUAUCAGCAGUUUUCCUCUUGUUAUGUCAGUCACUGACAGUCACUCAAUUAGCCCAUGUCAGCAAUUUUUGGGGGAUUGGUCAAUUAGUCUAGCGGCCAGCUAUCUUAACUUGUAGUAAUCAUGGUCCAAUUACCCACUGGGCGGGACCCAUUGAUUUUGUUUGUCACUCAGAUAUUAUAUUGAAAACUGAAAACAUUUCUCUCCACCCUACGGCAACAACAUUUCGCUUAGGCUAGGGCCGACUUUGACUGCAUGUGUGGGUAUGGAUGUGGGUGUGCAAGAUGCUGCAGCCCUCGCAUGAUUUUUGGUGGCCCCCACCCCCAUCAAAGUUGCCCAUCCCUGGUUUAGAAUCUUAAUGCACAUUUUCUAGUGGAAAGCCAUGCACAAUUCAAAGCCCCACUUACACACAUCUGUUGUAGGAAUAAUUGCCUGUGAGCAAUCAAAAGCCGACUUCUGAGUCUUUGACCCCUAAUUAUGGUGAUUGAGUGAUUAGGGAAGCAGGUGACCAGAAGAGAUCAAGAUGCUCUUUCAAAAAAUGCACAAUGAUCAAACAACAAACUUGGCAGCAACAUAAACACAACCAACUCGAGCACAGAUGAAACAACUACAGUAUUCUCAUGACACAUGAACAGUCACACACACCAGUGAACAAUUACACAGUUGAAGCUUUGAUACACUGUUAGAAUUUCCAGUCUGUUUCACUCCACAUAUGCCAUUUUGCUGGUGCAUGGCAUUUAUUUCUACCAUACAGUGCCUUUGGAAAGAAUUCAAACCUCUUGACUUUUUCACAUUUAGUUAGGUUAAAGCCUUAUUAUAAAAUGGAUUAAUUAAAUAAAUAAAAUAUUCAAUCAUUUACACACAAUACACCAUAAUGACAAAAUGAAAACAGGUUUUUAGACAUUUUUGAAAAUGUAUUAAAAUAAAUAUAUAUAUUUACAUAAUUUACAGUUGAAGUCGGAAGUUUACAUACACCUUAGCCAAAUACAUUUCAACUCAGUUUUUCACAUUUUGUCAAAAUUCCUUGUAUUAGGUCAGUUAGGAUCACCACUUUAUUUUAAGAAUGUGAAAUGUCAGAAUAAUAUUAGAGAGAAUGAUUUAUUUCAGCUUUUAUUUAUUUCAUUACAUUCCCAGUGGGUCAGAAGUUUACAUACACUCAAUUAGUAUUUGGUAGCAAUGCCUUUAAAUUGUCAAACCUUUCGGGUAGCCUUCCACAAGCCUCCCACAAUAAGUUGGGUGAAUUUUGGCCCAUUCCUCCUGACAGAGCUGGUGUAAAUGAGUCAGGUUUGUAGGCCUCCUUGCUCGCACACACUUUUUCAGUUCUGCCCACAAAUUUUCUAUGGGAUUGAGGUCAGGGCUUUGUGACGGCUACUCCAAUACCUUGACUUUGUUGUCCUUAAGCCAUUUUACCACAACUUUGGAAGUAUGCUUGGGGUCAUUGUCCAUUUGGAAGACCCAUUUGCGACCAAGCUUUAACUUCCUGACUGAUGUCUUGAGAUGUUGCUUCCAUAUAUCCACAUAAUUUUCCUCCCUCAUGAUGCCAUCUAUUUUGUGAAGUGCACCAGUCCGUCCUGCAGCAAAACACCCCCACAACAUGAUGCUGCCACCCCCGUGCUUCACAGUUGGGAUGGUGUUCUUUGGCUUGCAAGACUCCCCCUUAUCCUCCAAACAUAACAAUUGUCAUUAUAGCCAAACAGUUCUAUUGUUGUUCCAUCAGACCAGAGGACAUUGCUCCAAAAAGUACAAUCUUUGUCCCCAUGUUCAGUUGCAAACCGAAGUCUGGCUUUGUUAUGGCGGUUUUGGAGCCGUGGCUUCUUCCAUGCUGAGUGGCCUUUCAGGUUAUGUCGAUAUAGACUCGCUUUACUGUGGAUAUAGAUACUUUUGUACCUGUUUCCUCCAGCAUCUUCACAAGGUCCUUUGCCAUUGUUCUGGGAUUGAUUUGCACUUUUCACACCAAAGUACAUUCAUCUUUAGGAGACAGAACGCAUCUCCUUCCUGAGCGGUAUGAUGGCUGCGUGGUCCCAUUCUGUUUAUACUUGCGUACAAUUGAUUGUACAGAUGAACGUGGUACCUUCAGGCAUUUGAAAAUUACUCCCAAGGAUGAACCAGACUUGUGGAGGUCUACAAUUUCUUUUCAGAGGUCUUGGCUGAUUACUUUUGAUUUUCCCAUGAUGUCAAGCAAAGAGGCACUGAGUUUGAAGGUAGGCCUUGAAAUACAUCCACAGGUACACCUCCAAUUGACUCAAAUAAUGUCAAUUAGCCUAUCAGAAGAUUCUAAAGCCAUAACAUAAUUUUCUGGAAUUUUCCAAGCUGUUUAAAGGCACAGUCAACUUAGUGUAUGUAAACUUUUGACCCACUGUAAUUGUGAAACAUUGAAAUAUGAGUGAAAUAAUCUGUCUGUAAACAAUUGUUGGAAAAAUUACUUGUGUCAUGCACAAAGUAGAUGUCCUAACAAAUUGCCAAAACUAUACUUUGUUAACAAGACAUUUGUGGAAUGGUUGAAAAUGAGUUUUAAUGACUCCAACCUAAGUGUAUGUAAACUUCUGACUUCAACUGUACAUAGGUCCAACAGUUGACAGUGUAUGUCAUAGCAAAAACCAAGCCAUGAGGUCAAAGGAAUUGUCCAUAGAGCUUCAAGACAGGAAUGUGUCGAGGCACAUAUCUGGAAAUGGUACCAAAAAAUGUCUGCAGCAUUGAAAGUCCCCAAGAACACAGUGGCCUCCAUCAUUCUUAAAUGGAAGAAGUUUGGAACCACAAAGACUCUUCCUAGAGAUGGCCGCCCGGCCAAACUGAGCAAUUGGGAGAGAAGGGCCUUGAUCAGGGAGGUGACCAAGAAUCCGAUGGUCACUCUGACAGAGCUCUAGAGUUCCUCUGUGGAGAUGGGAGAACCUUCCAGAAGGACAACCAUCUCUGCAGCACUCUACCAAUCAGGCCUUUAUGGUAGAGUGGACAGAUGGAAGCCACUCCUCAGUAAAAGGCAAAUGACAGCCUGCUUGGAGUUUGCCAAAAGGCACCUAAAGACUCUCAGACCGCGAGAAACAAGAUUCUCUGGUCUGAUGAAACCAAGAUUGAACUCUUUGGUUUGAAUGCCAAGCCUCACUUCUGGAGGGAACCUGGCACCAUCCUUAUGGUGAAGCAUGGUGGUGGCAGCUGUGGUGAUGUUUUUCAGCGGCAGGGACUGAGAGACUAGUCAGGACUGAGGCAAAGAUGAACGGAACAAAGUACAGAGACAUCCUUGAUGAAAAUCUGCUCCAGUGCGCUCAGGACCUCAGACUGGAGUGAAGGUUCACCUUCCAACAGGACAACGACCCUAAGCACACAGCCAAGACAAUGCUGGAGUGGCUUUCGGGACAAGUCUCUGAAUGUCUUUGAGUGGCCCAGCCAGAGCCCGGACUUGAACCCGAUCGAACAUCUCUGGAGAGACCUGAAAAUAGCUGUGCAGCAACGCUCCCCAUCCAACCUGACAGAGCUUGAGAGGAUUUGCAGAGAAAAAUGGGGAAACUCGCCGAAUACAGGUGUGACAAGCUUGUAGUGUCAUACCCAAGAAGACUCGAGGCUGUAGUUGCUGCCUAAGGUGCUUCAACACAGUACUGAGUAAAACAUCUGAAUACUUAUGUAAAUGUGAUAUUUCAGUUUUUCUAAAAUUUCGAAAAUCCUGUUUUUGCUUUGUCAUCAUGGGGUAUUGUAUUUUAGAAUAAGGCUGUAACCUAACAAAAUGUGGAAAAAGUCAAGGGGUCUGAAUUCAUUCUGAAGGCACUGUAUGUCUUAAGCUGCCACCAUUAAAAGCAUAGCUCAGUGGAAUUAUUUUUCCACUAAUGCCGCCGGCAGUGGAAGUUAAGAGCAUUAUGCAGGUGUUACAAAUAUCACAAAGGAGAGCUGAGAAGGAGCAAUGGGAUAAAAUAUAUGAGAUUUCCUUCUCUGUUUGAAUGAUGCACAUAAAAAAAUCUUUACGCACACUAACCCUAAAUAUAGAACAUCAGUCCUUUCAAACGUAGUCAGUGACUAAAGGGGUUGGUUGGGGAGACAGAGGGAUAUGACUAACACUUCUUGGAGACUGUUUCUCAAGUCUAAUCCAUGAAAUGGCUAUCCCUCAAAAUGUGCUUACAAAUAAAAGCAAAAUAACGUUUGUUAUCAAAUAGGGUUCCUCAAAUUAUUUUAGUACGACCCAGCGAAACAAACUUCCUGUAUCUGGCUCAUAGCUCCCAGGCAAUGAUAUUCAUCUAUGAAUUAUUAAAUGAUUGUCCUGCUUAUGUGCACUGAAAUACAGUGAGUUUGGCAAUUGUCCGCAUUUCGAAAUCUGUUGCAGUUCUUUUGAAUUAUUUUGUAGUUUUAUUCCCUUGUAGCUAAUAGGAAGGGUUAAACAGUUUGUAUAUGUAUUUGUUAUCUAUUCCAGC
rnacentral:lncRNA from 1 species